CGGAGGGUGCAAGCGUUAAUCGGAAUUACUGGGCGUAAAGCGCACGCAGGCGGUCUGUCAAGUCGGAUGUGAAAUCCCCGGGCUCAACCUGGGAACUGCAUCCGAAACUGGCAGGCUAGAGUCUUGUAGAGGGGGUAGAAUUCCAGGUGUAGCGGUGAAAUGCGUAGAGAUCUGGAGGAAUACCGGUGGCGAAGGCGGCCCCCUGGACAAGACUGACGCUCAGGUGCGAAAGCGUGGGGAGCAAACAGGAUU
rnacentral:rRNA from 1 species